CUCAGACAGACUUCACUAAGGUGAACUUGUUUUCUAGGAUCUUAAUUUGAUGGUGGUUCCUGCUUUUACAAUAAAAAUGUGGACACAAUGAGAUACAGAACACAGAAGAGAUGCAGGCAAAGUAAAAUAAUAGAGGAAAAUUAAAAAAAACAUGCCAAAGUUUUUCAAAUUAUAACACACAGAGUUAAGAAAUGUCUUGAGACAUUCUCAAAAAAUAUUAGUCAUAUUUCAUUUUAUUUCACGUCAGUGAGGGAGACCAAGCCUGAAAGUGGAACACACACAUUUUGUCAGACAAGCACAUCUGAUAUCUUGACUAUGAACAUAAACAAAUUUUUCACCUUUUAGCAGUUGCUGCUAGACAUAUAGUAGACACAGUCUCUGUGGUUUACAGACUUUUUUUUCCCACAUUAGUUGUCUUUAAACAGAAUUUUUCCCUCCUCUCAACUCCUUUACAAAUAAUUCUAUUUGGAUUUCUAGGAACCUGUAAGAGGUUAUACCAUUUUUUACUUUUGCAGUAGGUGUUAAAGACUUUGCAACAAUCUCUUUUGUUAUCAUAUUGCAUAAAGCCUUGAAAAAAAUAUAAUGAGCAUUUGCCUGUUAAUUCUGUAGAGUCAAUGGCAAACUAAACAUCUAGAAAAAUAUCACCUGAACUGGAAGAAAAUCAGUAUGUGAGCUGUGAUGGGCCAUGAUCAAGUGGAAUUAUGGCAGUCUGUGACUGACCCCCAUCACAAAAAAAGUUAAGAUACAAAGUCUUCCUUAUGAUUCAUAUAAUAAUACAAAAAAUGUGUUCAAUUUUACACACACAUUUUCUAUUUUCUAAAAUUAAAAUCUCCAUGGAAAUCCCCUAAAGCCAAGAAAAUAAAAUACCAUGCAAUGAGCUAUGAAAUGGCUUUCACAGAUGAAAGAAAAUAAUGCUAAAAAUGGUGUUUAGAAAUCCAGACUUUAAUUUAUUGUUUCCCAUCCAAACACAGGGUCUGGACAGAUGCAUUGAGGCAGCAUUAAGUUUGACAUUUGAAGAAGAUAAGCAUCUUGUUUAUAGUAGUAAGAAAGAAGAUGUUAACAGAUAAGAAAAUUCUGUUACUGUGGAAGGAAUGAGAUGUCCUAAAAUAGUCCUUAUAACAACAAAAUUAUUUACCAGGUGAAUCUUUGAAGUCAUAAAUGAUCAUGUGUCUUAGCCAUGGUCAUUCUGUAUAAAACAAAAAGAAAAAUAAAACAAAAAUAUCAAUCCUGAAGUUUUAUGUUGCAGAUAACACCUUAUGUGAGAAAAAGGUUAAUGAUAUGCAUGGGGAUGUUGAAUAAGCUGUAAUCAGCAGCUGGUCAUGGAUAAGACCUGUAUAACAUGAAAUGUUUAUCUUAAGCCAGAGGAAGACAUGACUAUAAUAUAAAAAUAAGGGGAUUUUUAUUUUUUUUUAAAUAAUCUGUUUAGAGGUUUGUGGAAAUUCCACAAGAGUGUGUGUUUUAAGAUAUCUUGUAGUCAGUAUGUCUAAAGCUUAACACAUAGAGCUGUUCAUAGAUUUUUCUACUUAAAUGAUCUUUUGCUUGAAGGUGCAGGUUUUCUUUUUAUUUUUAAAGCAAAUAAAAAACCUGGAACAGUGAUAUAACAUCUGAGAAUUUUGGAUAGGUUUCACAAACAAGAACUGAACAUCUCUCCCCUUAGUCGAAAAAAUAUUUUUCUCAGCCUAUUUGAUUUUCAGAAUUUAUUUUCUUUUAGCACUGGAAAAAUGGCAAGAUCUGGUGGAAUUUUUGAUAGAGAUGAUUUCUUUAAUCUUCUCUUUGAGUGGCUCUUUCUGAACAUAAUUUAGUAAAUUAUGAUUUAAAAUCUCAAAGGCAAGUAUAGGGAGCUUCUGCAUAAAUAAAAUUGAACUAAGAAUUUUAUGGUUUUCAUAUGAAGACGUCUGAAAGUCUCUGAAGCUUUACAAGAGCUAUAUUUAAUUCAGGCACUGAGUGCUUAUUUGAAUGUUUAAAAAGAGAUUAUAAAUAAGUUUAAGUGGUGUACUUUUUUGUUAGAAAAUAUUUUUUAAAAAGUGUUUUAUUGACUUCAGUAAGUGUGAAAUGAUUGAAGCUAUAAUGAACAGUUUAUGCUUGAGCAUACAAGGACCCUAGGUAUUUAUAAGUGACAGGUCUAUGAAAUACCUAUGAAUGAAAAUGACCCCAGGUAACUGAACACUGCUUUUGCAGCAGGUAUAUACACAGCCAAAUAAUGAAAUGAAACCCACAGAGGACACUCAAGAUAUUUGACAUGAAAUAAUUUAUGAUUACUGCUGGAGUAAAGAAAGUGACAUUCAGAUUUCCUACAGAUCUGUUACAGGCUACAACAAAACUUGUAUCUAAAGCAAGGCAAUAGAAUGUUAUCUUUUAAUGUAUAACAUAAUAUCUACAUGGUGUGUAAAAUUAGAUAUGUACAGUAAUGAGAGUAUUAGGCUGUCUAUUAGGUUCAUAAGCUUAUAUUACAUAGACCACAGUACCAUAUAGCACAAACCUUUUUUUCUUCUAUAAAUAUUCAGACACACUGAUAAGAAGUCAUGACUCAUUCAUGUGACCUGACAUCAGAUGGAUUGUUUUUCAGAGACUGUAUUAUAUGUGUGUACUCAACCUGUCAGCCUGCUAGGCAGAAUCACUACCAUGAGAAUGAUUACAUUUUCUUUUUAAUAACUCAGCGUUGUAACAUUGUCCAAAAGCAGAAAAAAUUCUCUUCUCUCCCAAAAAGUGGCUCUGAACACAAUAUAGAAACUAAAAAGCCUUCCCUUUAGGCUUCACCUAUCUAGAUUUCUCUACUCUUUUCCCAUUAUGAGAAUUCUUUCAUACUUUCUAUUUUUUUAGACUGAACAUAGUGUUGAUUGUCACUCUCGCUGAACUCCUCGCUGUGACUUUGUAACAGUGGAGAUCGCAGGCAGUGAUCUCAGCUAAAUGAAGACCAAUGCCCAGAUUCAGGCUACACAACUCAGAUCAGUGUGCUGGCAGAAGACUGACAAGUUGAAAGUCUUUGAGUCCAGAGAAUGCAGGGAAUUCCCUGAGAAUCAAAUAGUUGUAUACAGCUGGAUCAAGCCAUAAUGAGACAAUUCAGCCACUGAGUGUCCUACACUUACACAUUCCUUUUUUUUUCUUUUUUUUUCUUUUCCCUUUUUUUUUCCAAAAGAAAAAUUUUUCAUUUAAAAUUAAUUUAAUUUCUCUAAUCACAAGCUCUUCAACACCCCAAGUGUUGGAAUUGCCAAAAUCUCAGAUUUUUUUCUGAAUGUUAGAUAAAUGCAUGAUGCAGAAUGUGCCAUGCAUAGAAGCAUAUGGCCUUUCUAAUAUAAAAGCUGUUGCUGCUCCUUUCAGCAACUUGCAAGGACCUCUGUUUGCUAACUGUUCCAGAGCUCAGCUGUUCACAGACUGGGCAAUGGCAAAUGAUUCUGGGGUCCUUCUAAUCUCUUUCAGGGACUCCAGAUCACUUCUGUGCUAGCCCCAUCACUCAGGCUUCUUUGUUUAGGCAGUACAACAAGUAGAAGCAAAAUCAGGUGAAACCACUCCAACCUCCUUCGUGCUGACCAGGCAGCCACCCAUUACAGAGUAGGCACAGAGGAGUUCAAGUCAUAUAGUUCUCUCCAUAUAUUAGACAGGGUUAUUUUUAUUGUGCUUAUUUAUUAUUAACCUUCCACCUGGCAUUUAUAGGACAUUUAUGUUCUCUAAGUGAUUGCACUUGCUAAUCAGCUAUUACAGCUGCCAGGAUGCAGCAAGAGCAGGCAGCUUUUGCCAGGGUAGAUGAUGGGGUGGCAGGCAGUGGCAGCAGUGCAGGGGACACGUGGGAUAGACACAGGGAAGGAAUUUUGCAGUGAUCAUUUAGUUCAGCCAAGAGUCCAGAACAUCAGGUAGAUCCCUAGUGAUGAGGCAAGUCCAACAUCAAGCUAAAAAGUCACAAAGCCACCUGCAAGCUGGGCUCUGGGUCAGAGUCAAGGAGGCACAGGACUGGGAUACCAGAGGAAUAUCAAGGGUGAGAGCCUAGGGUUAAAAGCCUCUCCCAGGUGCAGUGGGUUAAGUCACUGCUGGGAUUUCUCAUAGGCAGAGAAAAGCAUCAUCAAAGUUUUCACUGAGUUCAAGCAGCUGAACCCUGGGGGCUGUAGGGAAGGCACUCAGGGCCCUGAAAACUAUUAAUGCUUUCAAGAACUGGAUAUAAGAGAGCAUUAAAGCAGAUCAGAUAUAAAGUAGGUCAACCAUGCUUGGCUCCUUUUUGCUAGUUGUACAUGUGCCUUGUAUUUGGCAGGCCACUGAGCUGCAGCCUCCCUCUUUCCUUUUUACUCCACUAACAGCUAAACUAAACUCGUUUGCAGGCUUACAAUUGUGUUCUUUACACAUACUGCUGUCAUUGCUAAUAAGUCACUUAGGACUCACGUCACCUGUAAAUGUUUUGUUUUCUUCCUCCCAUGACAAGAUGUAAGCCAGUGUUUCUUCAGAAAACAGGAAUAGACAGGUAAGUGAAGGGAAUGGCUAUAUGCAUGUGCAUGCAUAUUUGUGGCUAUAUGGGCAUGUGCAUAUCUGUUUUCAAUUACUUUAAAGCCCCUAAUAAAUUCUUAUAUCUGAGGAAGUGACUUUCAUAAGCGUGUAAGCUGUGUUGGUACCACUAAGUUAUUGUGCUGACAUCACAGUUUUGUCAUACACACAAUUUUACAAAUUAUAAUUAAUUGUAGUACUUAUUCUUAAUUUUGAAGUUAUUUGGUUUAUGUUUUUAAGUCUUUCAGAAAGAACUUUCUCAUUUUACUCUCUUUUUUUAUUUUUGGAAGGAAACAAAGAACUGUCUUGUACUAGAUUUCUGUAGAGUUCUCCAGAGUCUGUGGGGUCUUCACCUCCAUGAAGGGUCACCUGUAGCCUGUUGCAAUGCAGGGAGGCAGCAAAAGCAAUGUCUGAUUAUAUGAGCUCAUGGUAAAAGAGGCUGGACACAAACCCCAUGAUGGAAGAAGAAACACUGAGUGUAGACACGAUAUAUUUCUACAUCCACAGAACUGAGCAAAACAUUAUGGAGUAACAGUCCACAGUUAAAUGAAGAAACUGAUGUAUAUUUUGUUUUUACUUUCCCUUAGCUAUAAGAAUUAAGAGUUGUACUACUCUCCUUUGUUUAUACCUUGCUUGCUUCUUCAUUCAGAUUGUAUUGUGAAAUUUAAAUGAAAAAAAAUACUAUCAAUGACAAUGAAUACUUAUUUAUAACUCAAGUAAAUGUUGUAAACUCUGGACUUUCUUUGGUUUGGACUUUUUUUUUACCCCGUUAUGUUUGGAUAUAUAAAAGAAUGAGUGGAGUGUUUUAUAAAUAUUGACAUCAAGUAGAUGGGGGAGAUUCAGAGAUAAAUAUUGUUUCAUAAUUAAUUUCAGUGUUUACAACACAGCCAACUAAAUGAGGAAGAAUAUCACAGAGGAAAACCUAAGCAAGAUAAGUUAUUCUAUAAGAAGACACAAUCAAAUUAUCAAUGGAAAUUGGGAGCAUCUCUUUAGAUAGGGAUGAGACUGGAGAACAGAGGAGAAAUGUCAAAUGCAUGGAUUAGAAAAGAUACUAAGGCCUAGAACUACACUAAAUCUGUGGACUGAUGGAAGUCAACAUAAGACAGAAAAAACAAGAAUGAUUUUUGAUGCUAGCUCAUUCAAGAUGAUCUUCUGAAACAAAUGUUGGGGAGAAGCUGAGAAAAGAAAGGGUGAAUCUGAAGACUAAAUCUCUCUACAUCUGUGUGCAGUUAAGACAGAAACUGGAGCUCAGGCAAAAAUCAUAUCUUCAUCAGUGUUUUUGACCUUCCUGAGGACUUAGCAAUGGUUUACAAUGCUUGUUUUGCCAAAAUGUAAUUAUCUUAAAAUUUGUCUCCCAAAAUGUAAUUAUCUUAAAAUGGUCCAUUUGAGCAACAUGUGAUGCUAUUUUAUAGGACCCAAGGCAGUGAAAUAAAGUGAACUAAAUCAUUAUGAAUCAGAAAUUCUACUGUUUUUGCACUUAAUAUCUUAUCUACUCUUAACAAUUACAGAACAUUCCAUUUUAAAAAUAUGACGUUUCCCUACCAUUAUGCUAAUUAUCUGUUUUCUUGAAGUACCUUGGAUUACAUACUUGUCUUAAUUUUUGUUCUUUGUAAGCUAAUCUUGUAAGCUAAAAUUCUUAAGAAUAAAUAAAUAAAUAACCAUAAAUAAAUCUA